CAGCAGCCGCGGUAAUACGUAGGGUGCAAGCGUUAAUCGGAAUUACUGGGCGUAAAGCGUGCGCAGGCGGUUAUAUAAGACAGAUGUGAAAUCCCCGGGCUCAACCUGGGAACUGCAUUUGUGACUGUAUAGCUAGAGUACGGCAGAGGGGGAUGGAAUUCCGCGUGUAGCAGUUAAAUGCGUAGAUAUGCGGAGGAACACCGAUGGCGAAGGCAAUCCCCUGGGCCUGUACUGACGCUCAUGCACGAAAGCGUGGGGAGCAAACAGGAUUAGAUACCCGAGUAGUCCCUGUCUCUUAUAC
rnacentral:rRNA from 1 species